rnacentral:rRNA from 1 species
CAUAGGUUAAUGAGGCGAACCGGGGGAACUGAAACAUCUAAGUACCCCGAGGAAAAGAAAUCAACCGAGAUUCCCCCAGUAGCGGCGAGCGAACGGGGAGCAGCCCAGAGCCUGAAUCAGUGUGUGUGUUAGUGGAAGCGUCUGGAAAGGCGCGCGAUACAGGGUGACAGCCCCGUACACAAAAAUGCACAUGCUGUGAGCUCGAUGAGUAGGGCGGGACACGUGGUAUCCUGUCUGAAUAUGGGGGGACCAUCCUCCAAGGCUAAAUACUCCUGACUGACCGAUAGUGAACCAGUACCGUGAGGGAAAGGCGAAAAGAACCCCGGCGAGGGGAGUGAAAAAGAACCUGAAACCGUGUACGUACAAGCAGUGGGAGCACGCUUCGGCGUGUGACUGCGUACCUUUUGUAUAAUGGGUCAGCGACUUAUAUUCUGUAGCAAGGUUAACCGAAUAGGGGAGCCGAAGGGAAACCGAGUCUUAACUGGGCGUUAAGUUGCAGGGUAUAGACCCGAAACCCGGUGAUCUAGCCAUGGGCAGGUUGAAGGUUGGGUAACACUAACUGGAGGACCGAACCGACUAAUGUUGAAAAAUUAGCGGAUGACUUGUGGCUGGGGGUGAAAGGCCAAUCAAACCGGGAGAUAGCUGGUUCUCCCCGAAAGCUAUUUAGGUAGCGCCUCGUGAAUUCAUCUCCGGGGGUAGAGCACUGUUUCGGCAAGGGGGUCAUCCCGACUUACCAACCCGAUGCAAACUGCGAAUACCGGAGAAUGUUAUCACGGGAGACACACGGCGGGUGCUAACGUCCGUCGUGAAGAGGGAAACAACCCAGACCGCCAGCUAAGGUCCCAAAGUCAUGGUUAAGUGGGAAACGAUGUGGGAAGGCCCAGACAGCCAGGAUGUUGGCUUAGAAGCAGCCAUCAUUUAAAGAAAGCGUAAUAGCUCACUGGUCGAGUCGGCCUGCGCGGAAGAUGUAACGGGGCUAAACCAUGCACCGAAGCUGCGGCAGCGACGCUGAUGCGUUGUUGGGUAGGGGAGCGUUCUGUAAGCCUGCGAAGGUGUGCUGUGAGGCAUGCUGGAGGUAUCAGAAGUGCGAAUGCUGACAUAAGUAACGAUAAAGCGGGUGAAAAGCCCGCUCGCCGGAAGACCAAGGGUUCCUGUCCAACGUUAAUCGGGGCAGGGUGAGUCGACCCCUAAGGCGAGGCCGAAA